rnacentral:ncRNA from 1 species
UCUUAUCAAGAGCGACGGAGGGACUGGCCCGAUGAAGUCCGACAACCAGCAUGAAAAGACAUGCAUGGUGUUAAUUCCAGCAGAGUGAUUCUGGGAGAUAAGA